rnacentral:rRNA from 1 species
AUUGAACGCUGGCGGCAUGCUUUACGCAUGCAAGUCGAACGGUAACAGGGAGCUUGCUCCGCUGACGAGUGGCGAACGGGUGAGUAAUGCGUCGGAACGUGCCGAGUAGUGGGGGAUAACGCAUCGAAAGGUGUGCUAAUACCGCAUACGUACUGAGGUAGAAAGUGGGGGACCUUCGGGCCUCACGCUAUUCGAGCGGCCGACGUCUGAUUAGCUAGUUGGUGAGGUAAAGGCUCACCAAGGCGACGAUCAGUAGCGGGUCUGAGAGGAUGGUCCGCCACACGGGGACUGAGGCACGGCCCAGACUCCUACGGGAGGGAGCAGUGGGGAAUUUUGGACAAUGGGCGCAAGCCUGAUCCAGCCAUGCCGCGUGUCUGAAGAAGGCCUUCGGGUUGUAAAGGACUUUUGUCCGGGAGCAAAUGCUGGUGGCUAACAUCCACCGGAGCUGAGAGUACCGGAAGAAUAAGCACCGGCUAACUACGUGCCAGCCGCCGCGGUAAUAC